rnacentral:rRNA from 1 species
UUAAGCUAUAAAGAGCACAGGGUGGAUGCCUAGGCACUGAGAGCCGAUGAAGGACGUGAUAAGCUGCGAAAAGCCACGGGGAGGAGCAAAUAUCCUUUGAGCCGUGGAUAUCCGAAUGGGGGAACCCACUUAAGUAAACCUUAAGUACUGACAAGCCAAUACAUAACUUGCCAGAGGGAACCCGGGGAACUGAAACAUCUAAGUACCCGGAGGAAGAGAAAGAAACAUCGAUUUCCUUAGUAGCGGCGAGCGAAAGGGAAAGAGCCCAAACCGAGAGAUUUAUCUUUCGGGGUUAGGACUGCAUAAUUGAUCUGCGAUUGAUAGGAGAAUGGUCUGGGAAGUCCAGCAGGAAAGCGUGAAAGCCGCGUAUCCGAAAUUGAAAGCAGCAAGGCAGUAUCCAGAGUACCACGAGACACGAGGAACCUUGUGGGAAUGAGCGGAGACCACUCCGUAAGGCUAAAUACUACUCAGUGACCGAUAGCGCAUAGUACUGUGAAGGAAAGGUGAAAAGGACCCCGGGAGGGGAGUGAAAGAGAACCUGAAACCCUGUGUUUACAAGCUGUCGGAGCACGUUAGUGCGACGGCGUACUUUUUGUAGAACGGUCCGGCGAGUUAUGAUACGCGGUAAGGUUAAGGACUUAAGGUCCGGAGCCGAAGCGAAAGCGAGUGUUAAGAGCACGAGGAAUCACGUAUCAUAGACCCGAAACCGGGUGAUCUAUCCAUGUCCAGGAUGAAGCUGCCGUAAGAGGUAGUGGAGGUCCGAACACACAUCCGUUGAAAAGGGUGGUGAUGAGGUGUGGAUAGGGGAGAAAUUCCAAUCGAACCCGGAGAUAGCUGGUUCUCCUCGAAAUAGCUUUAGGGCUAGCCUCGAUACAGAUUUGCGGAGGUAGAGCACUGAAUUUCCUAGGGGGCGUCAAAGCCUACCGAAGAAUAUCAAACUGCGAAUGGCGGACAGAUGAUGCUGGGGAGUCAGACUGCACGAGAUAAGUUGGGUGGUCAAAAGGGAAAGAGCCCAGACCUACAGCUAAGGUCCCAAAGUGCGUGUUAAGUGGAAAAGGAUGUGGGAUUUCGAAGACAACUAGGAUGUUGGCUCAGAAGCAGCCACACAUUAAAAGAGUGCGUAAUAGCUCACUAGUCGAGAGGUCCUGCGCCGAAAAUGUCCGGGGCUGAAACACGACACCGAAGCUUAGGAACAGAAAUGUUGGUAGAGGAGCAUUGUUAGCGGAACGAAGCCAUACCGGAAGGAGUGGUGGACUGCUAAGAAGAGAGAAUGCCGGAAUGAGUAGCGAGAUUGAAGUGAGAAUCUUCAAGGCCGAAUAUCUAAGGUUUCCAGGGUAAAGCUGAUCUGCCCUGGGUAAGUCGGGACCUAAGGCGAGGUCGAAAGACGUAGCCGAUGGACAACAGGUUGAAAUUCCUGUACUGCGAUAUAUCAGAAAUGUGGGGACACAGAAGGAAAGUGUGAGCCGGGAAAGGAAAGACCGGUGCAAGCACAGGAGGAGGGAUACAGGCAAAUCCGUAUUUCAAUCCAAUGGUGUUACGCGGAGCGAACAAAAGUAGCGAAGCACACAGACCAUCUGUCGAGAAAAGCCGCUAUUGUGUAUACCGUACCCGUACCGUAAACCGACACAGGUGGAUGAGGAGAGAAUCCUAAGGCCGGCGGGAGAAGCAUUGUUAAGGAACUCGGCAAAAUGACCCCGUAACUUCGGGAGAAGGGGUGCUCACGCAAGUGAGCCGCAGAGAACUGGCCCAAGCAACUGUUUAGCAAAAACACAGGUCUAUGCAAAACCGAAAGGUGAGGUAUAUGGGCUGACGCCUGCCCGGUGCUGGAAGGUUAAGAGGAGAGGUUAGCGCAAGCGAAGCUUUGAAUUUAAGCCCCAGUAAACGGCGGCCGUAACUAUAACGGUCCUAAGGUAGCGAAAUUCCUUGUCGGGUAAGUUCCGACCCGCACGAAAGGCGUAAUGAUUUG